AUGGGGUCCCAGGUUCACCUCCUCAGCUUCCUCCUCCUUUGGAUCUCUGAUACCAGGGCAGAAACGACACUCACGCAGUCUCCAGCAUUCAUGUCAGCGACUCCAGGAGACAAAGUCAACAUCUCCUGCAAAGCCAGCCAAGACAUUGAUGAUGAUAUGAACUGGUACCAACAGAAACCAGGAGAAGCUGCUAUUUUCAUUAUUCAAGAAGCUACUACUCUCGUUCCUGGAAUCCCACCUCGAUUCAGUGGCAGCGGGUAUGGAACAGAUUUUACCCUCACAAUUAAUAACAUAGAAUCUGAGGAUGCUGCAUAUUACUUCUGUCUACAACAUGAUAAUUUCCCU